AGCAGCCGCGGUAAUUCCAGCUCCAAUGGCGUAUAUUAAAGUUGUUGCAGUUAAAAAGCUCGUAGUUGAAUUUCGGGAUCAAUUUAUUGGUCGUGCUAUUGUACGUACUGGUAUUAUUGAUUUCUACCUUCUGACGAACCAUGAUGUCAUUAAUUUGGUGUCUUGGGGAAUCAGGACUGUUACUUUGAAAAAUUAGAGUGUUUAAAGCAGGCUCACGCUUGAAUACAUUAGCAUGGAAUAACGAAAUAGGACGUUUGAUUCUAUUUUGUUGGUUUCUAGGAUCGACGUAAUGAUUAAUAGGGAUAGUUGGGGGCAUUAGUAUUCAAUUGUCAGAGGUGAAAUUCUUGGAUUUAUUGAAGACUAACUACUGCGAAAGCAUUUGCCAAGGAUGUUUUCAUUAAUCAAGAACGAAAGUUAGGGGAUCGAAGACGAUCAGAUACCGUCGUAGUC
rnacentral:rRNA from 1 species